rfam:Ciona savignyi cont_37926, whole genome shotgun sequence.
GCUUAUCACCAUUCCAGAUUGAAUAUACCCGAUCUCGUCUGAUCUCGGAAGUCAAGCAAUCUCGGGCUUGGUUAGUACUUGGAUGGGUGACCGCUUGGGAAUA